CAGCAGCCGCGGUAAUACAGAGGUCUCAAGCGUUGUUCGGAUUCAUUGGGCGUAAAGGGUGCGUAGGUGGCGCCAUAAGUCGGGUGUGAAAUUUCGGAGCUUAACUCCGAAACUGCAUUCGAUACUGUGGUGCUUGAGGACUGGAGAGGAGACUGGAAUUUACGGUGUAGCAGUGAAAUGCGUAGAGAUCGUAAGGAAGACCAGUGGCGAAGGCGGGUCUCUGGACAGUUCCUGACACUGAGGCACGAAGGCCAGGGGAGCAAACGGGAUUAGAUACCCCGGUAGUCCUGGCAGUAAACGGUGCACGUUUGGUGUGGGGGGAUUCGACCCCUUCCGCGCCGGAGCUAACGCGUUAAACGUGCCGCCUGGGGAGUACGGUCGCAAGAUUAAAACUCAAAGAAAUUGACGG
rnacentral:rRNA from 1 species